rnacentral:rRNA from 1 species
UACGGAGGGUGCAAGCGUUAUCCGGAUUCACUGGGUUUAAAGGGUGCGUAGGCGGGCAGGUAAGUCCGUGGUGAAAUCUCUGAGCUUAACUCAGAAACUGCCAUGGAUACUAUUUGUCUUGAAUAUUGUGGAGGUGAGCGGAAUAUGUCAUGUAGCGGUGAAAUGCUUAGAUAUGACAUAGAACACCAAAUUGCGAAGGCAGCUCACUACACAGUCAUUGACGCUGAGGCACGAAAGCGUGGGGGAUCAAACAGG